rnacentral:rRNA from 1 species
AAUAAAUAAAAUAUUUAUAUAUUUAAGUAGAAGAUUAAAUGUUAAAUCAUUAAAUUUAUAAGAUUUGGCGGUAUUUUAUAAAAUUAGAGGAAUCUGUAAUUUAAUUGAUGAUCCACGAUAGGAGUAACUUGUUAAAAUUAUUUAUGUAUUGCUGUUUAAAAAAUUUUAUUAAGUAAAAUUUAAUUUUUAAAAUUUUAAUUAAAUUCAAGUCAAAAUAUAGUUUAGAUAAGAUAAUUAUGGGUUACAUUUUUUUAUUAAUAAUGGAUAAUUUAAUUUAAUUUUAAUUUGAAAUUGGGAUUUAAUAGUAAAUUUAAUUAAUUAAUUAAUUUGAAUAUAGUAUGUAAAAUGUGU